UUUUUUUUGACAAUGUGAGAAGAACAUUUUUUAUUUCAUGGACUUAGGGAAUUAUUUUCUAUUAUUAUACUUCACGUUAAAAUGCCAUAUUUUGAUUGGCUAAUACAAGGGUGUUAAUUUACUCUAUCACAUGGCUGAUGAGAGGGUGACAAUUUUUUUUAAUGUUCCCUCUUGUCCAGACCAAUCAAAAAUCAACAUCAAGUAAUUGAAUACUUUUGGCUCAGAUUUUAUUAUUUUACUGUCAAAAUCCGUUGUUUCUACGUGACGUCAUAGAAAAUACUUUUAAAACAAAAUUAAUCUGUAAACCACAAUAAUGAUUGGACAUUCAGUAUAAUAAAUUAAAUAACACAUAGAAAACAUUGUCAACCGAGGCGCAGCCAAGGGCUGAUUGGUAACCCGAGAAAACAUUGUCAAUCGAGGGGAAGCCAAGGGCCGAUUGGUACCCUGAGAAAACAUUGUCAUACGAGGGGAAGCCAAGGGCCGAUUGGUACCCAGAGAAAACAUUGUCAACCGAGGCGAAGCUAAGGUUGACAAUUCUUUUUCGAGGGGUACCAAUCGGCUCUAUCACCCUCUCAGCUAUGUGUUAUUUAUAUACUAUAAAUACUAAUCGAGCAAAGGCAUGCAAUUAAAUACAGACUUUAUUUUUUUUAUAUUAUAAUACAGACUUUAUUGUCACCCAAUGAGUUGGAAUAAGAGGAGCUUUAUAGGUGUAUAGGCCAAUAAGACAGCAACACUUAACACAAUAAAAGAAAAAGAAAAGAAAUUUGGAGGUAAAAAAAGCAUUUUUUCAAAAAUAAAACAUACUUGCCUGAAACAAUCAAACUCAAAAAAAAAUAUGUUCUUAUAUGAUAACUUAUUUUAUGCAGUGCUUCAAUUUUUCAUAUUUUCACAUUUUAUUCUUGUUGCUGGUAAGCAAGGCACUGAUCCGUAAGAUUAAAAAUUCAGCUGGUAAAAAUUAUUGUAGUAUCCAUAGAUAUUAUUGCCAAACAAAUAUCUGUUUGGUGGCUUUAACAAUUUAUGUAAUUUUUGAAAUUAUUUUUUAUGGAAAAUAAAACAGUUGUUUUGUUAUGUCUUGUUUUUAUUACAGUAUAACUA
rnacentral:lncRNA from 1 species